rnacentral:rRNA from 1 species
CACGUAGGGCGCAAGCGUUGUCCGGAAUUAUUGGGCGUAAAGAGCUCGUAGGCGGUCUGUUGCGUCCGCUGUGAAAACUCGGGGCUAACCCCGAGCCUGCAGUGGAUACGGGCAGACUAGAGGUAGGUAGGGGGAGAAUGGAAUUCCCGGUGUAGCGGUGAAAUGCGCAGAUAUCGGGAGGAACACCGGUGGCGAAGGCGGUUCUCUGGGCAUGUCCUGACGCUGAGGAGCGAAAGUGUGGGGGAGCGAACAGG